ensembl:misc_RNA Metazoa_SRP Metazoan signal recognition particle RNA
GCUGGGCGUGGUGGCGCAUGCCUGUAAUCCCGGCUACUCGGGAGGCUGAGGCAGGAGAAUCGUUUGAGCCCAGGAGGUGGAGGUUGCAGUGAGCUGAGAUUGCGCCACUGCACUCCAGCCUGGGCAACAAGAGUGAAACUCUGUCUCAA